UUUUAAUUUAUAGUGGGGCCCACAUGAUUUUAAACUAUUUUUUUUUGGAAGAGUCAGCCUUAAGAGGCAGGGAUAUUAAUGCUCUUAGAACUUGGCGACUACAAAUUUUUGCUUGGGGCUUUUUUAGAAAGUUUUCCACAUUUUGCCAUUUUACGCUCCAUCUCUUAGCAAACUUUUAAAGACGCUCAUUAUUUGUCUACAAAAUAUUAUUUUUUAAGUUAGCAAGAGCAGGGGAAACGGAAACUAUAAUACUCUUUCCGUUCUAUAAAGAUUAUUCAUUUUACAUAUAUUGAAGUUUUAUGUUUUCAAUACAAUUUUAAGCUGGUUUACCAAAUUUAUCCAUAUUAAUCAAGAUAAUUAUUACUAAAAUCAUUGAACUUUGUGUCAUUAUUGAAUUAAAUGAAGGUUACUUUUGACAAUGCAAAUUUGUAAUUAAAAUAUGUGAAAAAAACUCAAAAACUUCUAUCUUAGUAGAACAGAGAUGUAUUAGUAAAUGAAAUUGUAUCUGAACAAAAAUGAAGUUGAUUACAUAAUUUAUUUUUAUUUUUGAUUCCAUAAUUGAUUACGUAAAUUUUAUAUUUAUACGAUGCAAGAGUAAAAUACAACUUUUUGAGUUUUUUUGUUAGUCAUUAACCAACUAAGCUACAAGAGAUUUUUUGAAAUUUGCCGCCAAAAUUUUACUUAUUGAAAAAAGGAGGAAUCACAUGCUUCCAUGGCUUUCUCUCAAGGCCGGUACUGACUAGUAUUAAUCGUUAAAGUUGGAUGUAAGUGUAUAAGGUUUUAGGAGAGUGAUAAAACAUAUCUUGAACCAAGAUGGAAUUAUGUAGCUUACGUAUAUAUUAACAAUGUUGAUUCCAAAAUUGAUUAUGCUAACCAUCUUACAUAGUAUGUAAAUUAAGUUCUAAACAAUUCGUGGAGACAAAACUUGGUGGUUUUUUUCGUUCUACAUAGACUGUGGUUAUGAUUUGUAUUAGAGUUGUUUUAUAGUAACAUAGUUGAUAUCCUAGAUUAGAAAAAUUCAACAAUUAGAUUUUGACUGAACUAUUUGUGUUCAAAGUUGUAUUCUAGAACUAGUCCAAUAAUUAGAUGGUUUUGACUGAAUCCUUUAUGUUUGAAGUUGUAUUUUGGGGGUGAAUCCAAUACAUGAAUGUUUUUGACUAAACCAUUUAUGCAAAGUUUUUUUUGUUCAGUGAUAAAUACUUGUCCCUCAAUAAUCUACAAAUGACAAUUUAGUAAAGUUCUUGUUAUUUAUUAUCCAAAGAUAAUGUUGACUCUUUCGAAUUGUAUUAUAUAUUAUUAAAUGGAUACAAAUUACACUGUGAAGGAUGGUAUAUGGUUAGAUUUCACUAGUAUUAUUAUAAAAACGGAUACAAAUUUUACUCUAAUAAGCUGGUUUUAUGAAUACAAAGACUAGUAUCAUAACCUAAUUAAAGAACAUGCAACUUUGACCAUAACUUAAAAGCCUAAUGCAAAAAAAGAGAGACUGGAAACACAUAAAUUAUUAAAAUAAAGCUCACGUUCGUAAUGCAGUUAGAUAUAAGAAAAGCGACUGAAGGUUACCGCUAUGCGUUCAUCAUCUGACAUCUCCAACCUUAACCUAAGUAUAACAUCAUAGAUAAGUCUGGUUCUAUAAUGAGUCAGCUUUUUAAAUUUGAUGUAUGCUUUUCUAUUAACAUAAAUAUUGUUCUUAAACAUGUCCCAUAAGUGGUUCUUACUAAAUUUAUUUUCAAACUUCGUAGUGUGACGAAGUCUCUUCCAACUUGAUUCAUGCCAAUCUUCGUUAUGGUCCAUUUCCUUUUCUCAUCGGCAUAAAGAGAAAAAGUAUCGGACACUGUUCUUAGUCCAACUUUAAUUACUAAGUCUCAUCAAUAGCCAAACAAACUAAUCUAGCAAAAAAAUUGUUACAGAACAUCUAGAAAACUAGAGCUGCAUAAAAAACUUAGAUCAAUAGCCAUUUGUCUUGUCUACUUGUGAUUUAUGUUCAAAUCUGAAAACAUAAAUACAAAUCUAAGCCAAAUCAUAACCGAGUAUGUAAAGUAACAAAUUUUAUGAUGAUUCCAAUAAACGAUCAAAGCCACAAACUGAAUCCCAAUUUCCACUUUCAUCUACAAACUCUAUCUCUACACAGAUUCCUAAUGAUGGAGUCUCAACGACUUACCACUGAAACAAGCAAGAAAUGGAGUAAACAGAACAAUAUGACAUUCAUGUUUAUAAGUUUAUUACAGAACACUCUCACAGCUAAAGCAAGUGAAACUUCAAUCACUCAAAAGCAAAUAAACCAAAAACAACCCAUAUCAAAAAUCUUAAAACCAACAGCCAACUUAAUUAUAUAAUCUAGAUGUUCCAUAAUCCUAAUGCAAAACGCUGAGAGAGACAGAGAGAGUGUUGGGGGUGGAUUUACAUCCUACCUCAAGGCCCAUUAGACAAUAAAUUAGACCCACUUUACUAUGAAGCCCUAGCUUCUUCCUUGUAUAAAUAGAGAGAUACCUCUCUUUAUCAAGGAGCUCUUCUUCUCCAUUUUUAGACUUAGAACACUUCUUACAAAGGAUUUAUAGAUUAUUAGAUUUAUUUACACUUGUAAUCCUACAUGUAAUACAAUCUUAAAUCAAUAAACUCUUUUGAUGUUCAUUUCUCAUUUGAUUCUUUAAAGAUUUCUCCUAAACCUCAAGAAUCUAAUUCUUAUUUUUAGAUUCUUUUAUUGUAUUGAUUCAACAAAAAUCACCAGCAUAAACACCAUUUUUGGAUCAAACAGUUGGCGCUAGAGAGAGGGGCCAAGGAGAACAAUCUUCGAAGCAAAUCAAAUUUGGAAGAACCCUAAUCUACCCAAAAAAAAAAAAAAAGAGGAUCAAGAAUCAAAAUGGAUUCUUUCCUCUUCCAUUCUCGAAGCAGCUGAGUAGUAUGCAGAGCUUUCUCAUCCUCGGUGAACCUGCAAUCGUAGCCGUUCCAGAUCUAGCUUCACCUCAAGUUUUCAGUCCAGCAACUAGAAGAUCUCGACGUUCUCGGUUCGUUUACGUCAAGCAUAAAUCUCUGGUCAAGCAUAUCAGUUGGGCCUGCAAGCCCAAUUCUCCACUGAAGGAGAACAAGCCCAAUUCUCAGAGUUUCAAACACGGCGACUUCUUAGCUGUGUCUGCGUCUCGAUCCAUCGCCAUCCGUGGAGACCAGAGAUCGUCAACGUGGAAGCCGUAACUGCGCUGGUUCUUCCUCGAGCUCGAAGCCAAGAUGGAGACAGCAAUGGAGUUUCAAUCACCGCCGCCGUAAAGACGAGCCAUCCUCACAGCUUCCGCCAUCUCCUCAACUUGGCAAGGGAGCUUAAGGGUUUGGUGAAGUACACAAAUGAGAAAUUUGCUUGAUGAAAGCUUGGAUUUUGAUGUCACAGAAGACCGACCGAAGAGCCGAAGAUUCUCAUCGGAAGCAACGACGGUCACUUCCGCAAAUCGACAAAACGAAACCUUGAGCUCCACAACCGGCAAAAAGAAGCCUAGAGCACCGCAACCGGCGACAUGGCUCGAUCUCAACGACCACGACUCAACCUCGAUGCAUUCAGAGAAGAUGAUGACAGGGAUCAACGACGUCGGAGCUGCUACUUUCUGGUACGAAACAUUGAGAAGGACCCAUCAGAACCGUUAUGAUACGCUUGUGACCAAGGUCAAGUCUUUGCUCGAUCCAUUAGCUCCUUGCAAGUUCUCCCAUCCGGUUUGGAUCAAGACUUCGAUGCUCUCAUCUCCUAUGCGUCUUCUUCUCGUCAAAGCUCGAGGCUUGAACUCGCAAGAACCAUCUCAUCACAAGCUUGCCGUCUCGGCACGAGCUCCUCUCUACUCUCUCCCGCCCUGUCUCUUCUUUGGAAGAUGUUGCUAGCUCGGUGACGAUCUGGGAAGUGAAGUGAGGUCGUCUCUGUUGAUGUUCGUGGAGAUGUCUGUGCGUAGCUGACCAUUUUCUCCACAAAGGAAACAGCUUCACUCUGAUCUUCAGACAGAACCCAUUAACAAGAGACCAUAUUGCCAAAUAAUUCAACACUUGAGCUCACUACCGAGUUCUACAUGUUUUGGGAGUUAAGUGAAGCACAGUUCACACCAAGAUAAGCUCGGGGACAGCAAGGCUUUGUUACUUGCGAGCAUGCCGCAACCGGCGCAAUCUUCACAAGAACAAAAACGAGAUGGAAAUGGUGAGACGUUGCCGACAAGGAAGCUCGUGCCCAUUAAUGGAAGAGGCUUUGAUGGAGGAUUCCGAGAUGGCUUCGAUGUACGUCCAGUACUCGGGACGGUCAUCACUUGCUUGGCACGAGCGAUAGAAUAGGAGGAGAGUUCCUCCAUGACGAGGAGAAGCAUCAAUUGGUCAUGAUCAUGCCGACGCCAAGCUCUCCAACAAGGUCGUGCUUCUUCAGGGAUCAUCUCGUCUCACCCCGUCAAUGGCUGCUCUCUCGUUACGACAUAAUCCUUGAGCUCGUGCGGUUUAACGCCGGACAACAGGCACGUGCUUUACUCGGCACUGGCCACGUCUUCGAGAGCUCCACCGCUAGAAGCUUGUUCCUGGCUUCAAGCUCUGAUUCAAACUCCGAAAAGAGAGAAGAAAACAGAGGAACGUACGAUGGGCCAUAACCAGCUCGGUAUCUCCUUAUGCUCAGCUCAUAGUCUCAUAACGAGCUUACCGCAACUGGCGCAAACUUGAGAGAAGAAAAGUUCGAUAAGAACAAGCUCAUCUUCUGCUACAAACGACAACAUAGAACUUCUUUAGCACCGCCCACUUCAUGACAAAACAACAAUAAGAUAAGUUUUCAGAAAAACUUUGUCUAAUAAUUAUUGCUCCUAUGACUUUAUAAGCUUUAACUUGUGGUCAAGUUUAUAGUUUGCCUCUUUAAUAAUUUAUUCUCUAACAGCAUGAAUAUAAUAUUUACGGAGACAAUAUUGACCAUUGCAACAUAUUAACUUAUGUUCUAGGUCGCUUUACUUGAUUAUAUCAAAGCUUACGACAUGUGGUUGCUAACAAGUCUUAAUUUUCUUGAAGCUUGUAACAACUUCGCUUGGGGACAAAGGAUAGUCCAUCAGCUAUUGCUGGACAUCCCGUACUCAUGACAAGCUGCGGAUUGACAAGAACAACUCGUCAUAGCCAGCAUAAACUCCUCGGCAAGAAGAAUAACGACAUGAGACAUGAGCCUAUCUCAACCCUACAAAGAUAAGUUCUUUUAUUAAACCAUCACAUGCUUUACUCACUUUUAAAUUAGUGUUAUGGUAAACAUUGUGGCUUUGGUUUAAAUUAUCAAACAACUCUAAGUUGUUCACUCAUCUCAUGUUAUUGCUUUGCUGUUGCUGUUGAUAGCCUUAUGAUAUUAAUAAGUUGACAAUUAUUACAUCAUCAUGUGCAACUCACGAGCACUAAGCAAAAACAAGUUCAAUAGCUUGCUUAUUAAUUAUGCAACAGUUGAUUAUCUAUUUUUUAUUUUUUUGGUUCAUAUUGGUCUAAUCAUGAUCACGCAUUUUGUGAACCAGAGCCAAAGAGAAAAACAGAGCCAACAAGCUGUUGCCGCCACCAUAUGUCCUCAUGCUUCGAACGACGGUUCUCAGCUUCGAGCUUGUUGAAAUCAGUACAAGCAGCAUAAGCCGGCACAUUUCUCAGCAUCAUCAUAGCCUGACGAGCAUACACACCAACUACUUGUUCGGCACACACGAUCUCAACACGAGACUUCGGGUCGGCAAUAGUUCGAGAUCGAUUUCAUCUCUCUCAACGAACUUGGGGGGACUUACUGUUGGGGGUGGAUUUACAUCCUACCUCAAGGCCCAUUAGACAAUAAAUUAGACCCACUUUACUAUGAAGCCCUAGCUUCUUCCUUGUAUAAAUAGAGAGAUACCUCUCUUUAUCAAGGAGCUCUUCUUCUCCAUUUUUAGACUUAGAACACUUCUUACAAAGGAUUUAUAGAUUAUUAGAUUUAUUUACACUUGUAAUCCUACAUGUAAUACAAUCUUAAAUCAAUAAACUCUUUUGAUGUUCA